UACGCAGGGGGCAAGCGUUGUCCGGAAUUAUUGGGCGUAAAGCGCGCGCAGGCGGUCUUUUAAGUCAGGUGUUUAAGCCCGGGGCUCAACCCCGGUUCGCAUCUGAAACUGGAAGGCUUGAGUACAGAAGAGGAAAGUGGAAUUCCACGUGUAGCGAUGAAAUGCGUAGAGAUGUGGAGGUACACCAGUGGCGAAGGCGACUUUCUGGUCUGUAACUGACGCUGAGGCGCGAAAGCGUGGGGAGCAAACAGG
rnacentral:misc_RNA from 1 species